ACGGGCUUUUCAAAAAAAAUGGGACACGAACACGAAGGCAACAUGAUGGGUUAAAAUUAGCUGCUUAACCGGAAGACCCGAUUAAGGUCUGAACACAUAAACACAGAGAGCGAGAGAGAAGAGUAAAGGAGGAGUGAUGUUAUUGAAUCGACGACGGAGAUGGGCCUUAGCCCGCGUCGCCGGAGCUGUCAUCCUUGGAGUUGUUACCGGGAAAUACAUAUUUGGACCCCCUCUUGAAGCUCACUGGAAAGCGAAACUUGAGGAAGAAGCGGCUGCAAAGGGAAGUGAUGCCAGCUCCACAUAGCUGAUUUCAAGUUAUUUCCGAUUGCUCGUCUUUUAUUUUAGACCAGGAGAGCAGAAAUCACAAGUUAGGGUCCUUUAAACCAGUUUUGGUUAGAUAUAACUUGCUGUGUUUCAUUCCCUUAAAUGUACAAUAAAAUUUCUCAUUUUCACAUUUUGACUGUGCCAGCCUUUUAAACUCGUGUAUUGCUUUAAAUGUUACUUGUAUAAGUUGUAUAAUUGACCUCA